CUCCCAGUGAUAAAACCCUGGUAAUGGCGUCUAAAGAGAAGAAGGAAAACAUAAGAAUGGGCAAACAGACGGCAACAGUGUACGCAGCAAAGAUAAAGACUAAAAUACACAGUAAGAAAUGCUAAACAGAUUCAGUUGUCUGCAUUACUGAUGUAGCUCGUGCUCUUAUGUGUUAGGAGGUGACCAUUGACAAUAACUGGACCUUUAUUAUCUCUUAGAUACCUCAUCAUUCUUCAAGCUUUCUUUGAAAGGCAACAACAAGGCUCUGGCUCUGGCUCUUGUCGCUCAGAAGCAGAAGAGCAGAGAGCUGGAGGCAGAGGUGGUGCGUCUGAGGAAAGAUGCGCAGACAACUCAUUUUGAUCUCGCGCAUCAGCGUCAUAAAAACAAACAACUGGUGAGUCUGUGACAGUGACAGCCAGUUAUAUGGCUGUAUUUAUGUACUGUACAUUUGUACAGACAUAAGUCAAGAUACACUCUAGAUUUUGAAAAUAUUGAGCUUGUGCUGUGCUUUGUUUUUAAAGUACACAGCACAAGCUCAAUAUUUUCUAAAAUACUAGAUUAUGUUUUUUUAUUUUUUUUUUUUGGUCUUGUCAUCUCUAGUUUGGAAUUAUACGAGAGUUUUUAUGACUCUUCCCUAAACUGGAUGACAAAGGCAGUUGACAUCUUUUGUAAUGAUGAGGAUCCAGACAGUAUGGACUUGGAUCACAACACCAGUGAAGACCAAAUCAUUGAAAUGGGAGAAGUUGAGAGUUUGCAAAACAGACCUUUGUGUCCACAGCAGGAUCAUGUUCAGUCUGAACCAGUGAAUUCAGCCGGUGAUGCUCCCAGCCAAGAGAGAGAUAGUCCAGCACAGCAAAACACCAUAUAUGACUCUGAAAUGGAGAUGACCGUUAGUGACAGUGCUGCUGAAAUAGUAACAGUUGAAACAAAUACCAGAAAAACCUCUAGAGUUACAGAAGAACACCAGGAAAAGAAGGAUUUGUGUCUAUCAGAAAAAGGUAGUGAGUUUAUAUCUGCGAAGGAAGACUCACCAGUUGAAUUUAAUAGAUUAGAAUGUACAUCAGCUGUGCCAAAAGAGAUGACCGCUGUCACACAGCAGUGCUCUCCCACUGUUCAGAGCGAGGUGGAGAAUGAGCAGCAAAUGGAUUCAAUAACUGCACGCAGGAAGACUCAUGUCACCUCUCGUUGUACUAAAAGUAGCAGACGCACAUGUAAACUGAAAGAAUCAAACCCAGAUCCAAGAAAAACGUAUUCGAUCUCCCAAGAUCCUCCUAAUGACAUUUUUAAUGAUUGUUUUAGUGAUCCUGAGCUUCAGAAUUUUGAAAGAAGCAAUGCAAUUCCUUCACAUGGAAAUAUUUCAAAUAAAGCUGCUAAAAGCAAAGCUAAAGAGUCCCAUGCUACCCGGGAAACCAGGAGAACAAUUAUAGAUCAAGUUGAGCUGAGACCUCAGAAGAGCAGGAAGACCAAAGUCUUGUCCCUUACGAUAGAUCACAGUUUAUCAGAUAUGCAUGAAAAUGUUCAGUCUGCCGGUACUUUAUGCCCAGAGGCUGCUUGUACGGAUGUCCAUGUCGGUGAGACUGCAGUUCAGAAACAUAAAAACAAAACUCCAGCACACCCUCUUCCUCAGUCUGAAAAGUGUCAAGACACAGAAAAACAGAGGAACAUUUGUGAUACAGGCAAGUCAAUCAUUAAUCAACAGGAAUUCAUUUUUGAAUGA
rnacentral:lncRNA from 1 species